AUGCUUAUAUGGCACAUCUGGCAAUUACGGAAUUAUCUUACUCAUGAUAAAGAGGUUCCCCCGGUGGCUACUACGGUGGACUAUUUGGAGAGUUAUAUGAAGUCAAUUGGAGAUGCUAGUAAGUAUAACAUAGAGGAAAUUAUUAAGGGUAAAAUGCCGGUUGCUAGUUGGACUUUGCCUGAAGUAAGUAUGGUUGCAGCUCCUAAGCUUUGGUUGCCUCCUCCUACUGAUUAUGUUGCUCUGUCAGUGGAUGGGUCCUUUUCAGGGGAGUCUGGUGCAGCGGCGGCAGGGAUGAUUCUCUGA
rnacentral:rRNA from 1 species